UUCAGUCAAUAACAGUUGCUGAAUUUUUUCGUGUAUUCAAAAUUAUCAUUUCUUAAUGAGAAAAUACAUAACCUCAACAUUAUCCAUAGGGAGUAUUUUAACCUAUUCUGAAAUUCUUAACCCUAAUAGGCUUGAUUUUACACCUUCUAACUUAUUUUUUAAACUUUAUUUUUUUCCCUUUAAAAAAAAACUUUUUGUGGAAGGGCCAGGUAUUAAAGUAUUAAAUCUCUUAGAAUAAAUUAACUUUUUAUUUUUAUUAAAAUAUCGAAAUACUUUGUUAUCCUUCCAUUUAAAAUAUUGCAUGACCUAUAUUUAGCAAUAAGUCUGCACUCACCGGCAUGCUCUGCAAAUGGCAAGUGUUGUUUAAUUUGCCUAUUUGCUGUGUGACUGUUUAAAGAAAGCACUGCAUUAGGAUCGCACUUCCCGGUAGAAAGUAGUAGCGGAAUUCAAUAAAAGUUGGAUAGACAAAGAAAUAUUCUUCCUUUAAAAGAUUAUUUGGGGUAAAACUAAUUAUUGUUGCAAUAAUGUCUAGCCCUACUGUGAUUUAUAGCACAACCUUAAGAACUACCUUUAAUUUUCAAAACUGAAAUUAUAAUGAUGAUGACGACAAAAACAACAGUAGCUAAUAUUUACUGAAUGUUUACUAUAUGCAGAAAAGUAUUCUAACCAUAUUAAGUGUAAUUAUUUUGUUAAUCCUUAUGGUGAAUUUAUGAGAAAGAUCCUCUUUUUACCCACGUCUUGAUCUGACAAAACUGAGGAAUCGGGAGGUUAAGCAAUUUACCCAAGACCAAACAGUUAUGGGUGAAUGAAUCAGGAAGUAUUUCCCAAUGAAUUAUAAAAUAAUUAUUAAGACCCUUGGAUAUGUUCAAGUUCUGAAAGGCACUAUGGAGAGCACACACAAGAAGAUUCUAGCCAGAGCAAUUAGGCAAGAGACAGAAAUAAAGACCAUCCAAAUUGGAAAGGAGGAGUAAAAUUGUCCCUGUUUGCAGACAACAUGGUCUUAUAUAUAAAAACCCCUAAAAGCUUCGCCAAAAAUCUCUAAGUAUGGAUAAAUUAAUUCAGUAAAAUUGCAAGGUACAAAAUUAACAUAAAAUCAGUAGUGUUUCUGUAACUCAGUGACAAACCAGUGGAAAAAGAAAUCAAGAAAGCAAUCCCAUUUAAAGUAGCUAUAAAAAUAAAAUAAAAUACUUAGGAAUAAAUGUAACCAAGGAGGUAAAAGUUUGCUACAAGGAAAACUGAAAACACUGAUGAAAAAAAUUGAAAAGGUCACAAAAUAGUGGAAGACAUCUCAUGUUCAUGAAUUGGAACAAUUAAUAUUGUGAAAAUGACCAUACUCAAAGUGAUCUACAGAUUCAAUGCAAUUCCUACCAAAAUACCAAUGGAACCACAGAAGACCCCAAAUAGUCAAAGCAAUCCUGAGCAAAAAGAACAAAGCUGGAGGCAUGGUAUGACCUGACUUCAAAAUAUUAAGCUCUGGUUACACAACUAUAAUAACCAAAACAGCAUGGUACUGCCAUAAAAGCAGACACAUAGACCAAUGGAACAGAAUAGAGAACUCAGAAAUAAAGGCAUGUAUUUACAGCCAACUGAUUUUCAACAAAGGUACCAAGAACAUUCAGUGGGGAAAGGACAGUCUCUUCAAUAAAUGGUGCUGGGAAAACUGGAUAAUCCAUAUGCAGAAAAAUGAUACUAGACCCCUAUCUCUCACCAUAUGCAAAAAUCAACUCAAAAUGGAUUAUAGACUACAAUGUAACCUGAAACUACGAAACUACUAGAAGAAAGCAUUGGGGAAAUGCUUCAGGACAUUGGUCUGAACAAAGAGUUUUGGGGUAAGACAUCAAAAGCAAAGGCAACGAAAGCAAAAACAGACAAAUAGGAUUACAUGAAGCCAAAAACCUUCUGCACAGCAAAGGAAACAACAGAAGAGACAGUGAAUAGAAUGAGAGAAAAUAUAUGCAAACUAUUUAUUCGACAAAGCAUUAACAACCAGAAUAUGUAAGGAACUCAAUAGCAAAAAAAAAAAAAAAUUCCAAAUUAAAAAUGGGCAAAUGAUCUGAAUAGCAUUUCUCAAAAGAAGACAUAGAAAUAACCAACAGGCAUCUGCAAAAAUGCUCAACAUCACUAAUUAUCAGGGUAAUGCAAAUCAAAAUCACAAUGAGACAUAGCACCCCAGUUAGAAUGGCUGUUAUCAAAAAGACAAAAAAUAACAGGUACUGAUGAAGAUGCAGAGAAAGGGGAACACCAGUACACUGCUAUAGGAAUGUAAAUUAGUGUAGCCACUAUGGAAGACAGUAUGGAAGCUCCUCAAAAAACUAAAAAUAGAACUACAGGAUGACCCAGCAAUCCCACUACUGGAUAUAUAGCCCAAAGAAAGGAAAUCAGAAUAUCUAACAGACUAUUCACGAUAGCCAAGAUAUAGAAGUAACCUAAGUGUCCAUCCAUGGAUGAAUGGAUAAAGAAAAUGUGAUAUAUAUAUAUACAAUGGAAUAUUAUUCAACCAUAAAAAAGAAUGAAACACUGUCAUCUACAACAACAUGGAUAAAACUGCAGGUCACUGUGUUAGAAGUAAGACAGGCACAGAAAGACAAAUAUUCCAUGUUCUCACUCAUAUGUGGGAACUAAAGAAAAGUGAUCUCAUGGAGGUAGUGAGUCGAGUGGUGCUUGCCAGGGGCUGGGAAUAAAAGGUGGGCGGUUAAAGAGGUUUGUUAAUGGGUACAAAACACAGCUAGAUAGAAGGAAUAAAUUCUAGUAUUCAAUAGCACAAUAGGAUGACUGUUAACAAUAAUUUAUUAUAUAUAUGAUAUAUCUAUAAGAGAAGAUUUGAAAUGUUCCCAACACAAAGAAGUAAUAAAUGUCUGAGGUGGUAGGUAUCCUAGAUACCCUGAUUUGAUUACUACAUACUGUAUGCAUGUAUCAAAAUAUCACAUGUACCCUGUAAAUAGUACAGUUAUUCUACAUCAAUAAAAAACAUAAAAAAUAAAAUUAAACCUAUCAAUAGGUAACUGGUUAUAAAAAAUAAUGUGCAUAGACAAUGAAAUACCAUACAGCCACUAAAAAGCUUUAAAAAGAGGCUCAAUAAAAAUCAGUCACCUGCAGGUGGAAAGGUUUUCUUUAAAAAAAUGUACUUUCUCGACAGGCACAGUGGCUCACGCCUGUAAUCCUAGCACUUUGGGAGGCCGAGGUGGGCAGAUCACGAGGUCAGGAGAUCGAGACCAUCUUGGCUAACACAGUGAAACCCCAUCUCUAUUAAAAAUACCAAAAAUUAGCUGGGUGUGGUGGCAUACACCUGUAGUCCCAGCCAAUCGGGAGGCUGAGGCAGGAGAAUUGCUUGAACCUGGGAGGCAGAGGUUGCAGUGAGCCAAGAUUGCGCUACUGGACCCCAGCCUGGGCAACAGAGUGAGACUCUGUCUCAAAAAAAAAAAAAAAAAAAUUACCUUUGCUGCAGAGAAAUCAGAACAUAAGAAAUGCUAGGCCAGGUGUUGUGGCUCAGGCCUGUAAUCCCAGCACUCAGGGGGCUGAGACAGGAGCAUCUCUUGAAGCCAGGAGUUUGAGACCAGCCUGGUCAAUGUAGUGAGACCCUAUCUCUACAAAAAAGAAAAAAAAAUUUUGCUGAAUGUGGUAGCAUGCACCUGUAGUCCCCGUUAGGAGGCUGAGGCAGGAGGAUUGCUUGAGCUCAGGAGUUUGAGGUUGCAAUGAGCUGUGAUGACACCACUGCACUCCAGCCCAGGUGACAGAGCAAGACCCUGGCUCUAAAAUAAAUACACAGAUACGUAGAUAGAAAAAGAGAAAUGCUAAAGUUUGUGGUAGAUGUCACAAGAUCAGCAGUGAGCUCUGGAAGAGAUGACACUUCUGCGGAAGACCUUAGAGUACAGCGUUUCUCCAAAUGCCAUCCAUGGGUCACUUGUCUCAACUACCUGCGAUAUUUAUCCAAAAUCAAAUUACUGGGCCUCAUCCUAGAAUUAGCACCUCUAAAUAUGAGAGGUGGAGCUCUGGAAUCUGCGUUUGAACUAGACACUUUCCCCUUCCCCCUACACAGUUCCAACAGUAAUUCUGACAUAUAUUACAAUUAUGAGUAUGCCUUCUUAAAAGAUGGAUCUGCUUGGAUAAAAAAUGAUGACAGCUUUCCCAACAGGAAAAUAACAGAGGCAAAGAUCUGGGAGAAGCAUGGUUUGAGGGGAGGUGCAUUAAGGAGAUGGGAUCUAAUUAGAAUGCAGAGGCUAUUUUGGAGAGCAGUGGGGAGGAAGGCCAAAUAAGGAUAUUAAAGCCAAAAUAGGACUGUAGAAAUCAGAGGAGUUUAAAUUUAGUGAAGAAAUAGAGCCAUGUAUUAAUAAGCCAGAAAGCCUGAUGAAAACAUUAUUUAAGAAAAAUUGAUUUGUGAAUUAACUCUUAUUUUACAAAUUUAUCUUACCAGCUUUUAAAUAUAUUCUUAAUAUUUUAUAAACAUCUUUAUUUCUUAUUUUCUCUUGUUGGCUUCUGGAUCUCUUAUAGGAGAGGAAAAUAUUAUGUUCAUAAAUGUCCUCAAAGAAUUUGAAAUUUCCCUCAAAAUGGGAUAUAAAACUCAAAGUCUAUGUAGUUUGAAGGCUAAAAGUUAAAAAAUAGAUUUAUCAUACUGAAUAUCUCAAGGUACACAUCUGAUUCUUCUGCCUAUGACCAUCAUACACUGUUGGUGGGUAUAUAAAUUGAUAUGACCUCCACAGAGGACAGUAUGACAGUAUCUAUCAAAAUUUUAAAUGUAUGUUCCCUUUGAUUCAGCUAUUCUACAUGGACAUGCUCACACAUCUACAUAGAGAUUUACGACAGCACAUUGUUACUGCUCAGGGUCUGAAUUCUUAAAAUACUGGAAAUAACUUAGAUAACCUAUCACUCAGUAGGUAACUGGUUAUAUAAAAUAAGGUAUAGUAUAUAGACAAUAAAAUACUAUAUAGCCAUUAAAAAGAUUGUUAGAUUCAUGUUUCAUGUGUUGAUAUAGAAAAGUCUCUAAGAUAUAUUUUAAGUGAAAAAAAAAAAAAAGCAAGAUGCAGGCUGGGUGCGGUGGCUCCUUCCUGUAAUCCCAGAACUUCGGGAGGCCAAGGCAGGUGGAUCCCUUGAGCUGAGGAGGUCAAGACCAGCCUGGGCAAUAUGGCAAAAUCCCAUCUCUACUAAAAAUACAAAAAAUUAGCUGGGCAUAGUGGUGCACACCUGUAGUCCCAGCUACCCAGGUGGCUGAGAUGGGAGGAUCACCUGAGCCUGGGAGGUCAAAGCUGCAGUGAGCCAUGAUUGUGCCACUACACUCCAGCCUCGGCAACAGAGUGAGACCCUGCCUCAAAAAGA